CGAGGCGCAGCGGCCGGGCCGGCGGGCGGGCGGGCGGCUGCGAGCAUGGUCCUGGUGCUGCACCACAUCCUCAUCGCUGUUGUCCAAUUCUUCAGGCGGGGCCAGCAGGUCUUCCUCAAGCCGGACGAGCCGCCGCCGCCGCCGCAGCCAUGCGCCGACAGCCUGCAGCCAGCCGGGACCUCUUUGCACAGGAGCCAGUGCCCCCAGGGAGUGGAGACGGCGCAUUGCAGGAUGCUUUGCUGAGCCUGGGCUCCGUCAUCGACGUUGCAGGCUUGCAACAGGCUGUCAAGGAGGCCCUGUCGGCUGUGCUUCCCAAAGUGGAGACGGUCUACACCUACCUGCUGGAUGGGGAAUCCCGGCUGGUGUGUGAGGAGCCCCCCCACGAGCUGCCCCAGGAGGGGAAAGUGCGAGAGGCUGUGAUCUCCCGGAAGCGGCUGGGCUGCAAUGGACUGGGCCCCUCAGACCUGCCUGGGAAGCCCUUGGCAAGGCUGGUGGCUCCACUGGCUCCUGACACCCAAGUGCUGGUCAUACCGCUGGUGGACAAGGAGGCCGGGGCUGUGGCAGCUGUCAUCUUGGUGCACUGUGGUCAGCUGAGUGACAAUGAGGAGUGGAGCCUGCAAGCUGUGGAGAAGCAUACCCUGGUGGCCCUGAAAAGGGUGCAGGCCUUGCAGCAGCGCGAGUCCAGCGUGGCCCCGGAAGCGACCCAGAAUCCUCCGGAGGAGGCAGCGGGAGACCAGAAGGGUGGGGUCGCAUACACAGACCAAGACCGAAAGAUCCUGCAGCUUUGCGGGGAGCUCUACGACCUGGAUGCAUCUUCCCUGCAGCUCAAAGUCCUCCAAUAUCUGCAACAGGAGACCCAGGCAUCCCGCUGCUGCCUGCUGCUGGUAUCCGAGGACAAUCUUCAGCUCUCCUGCAAGGUCAUUGGAGAUAAAGUACUGGAGGAAGAGAUCAGCUUUCCGUUGACCACAGGACGCCUGGGCCAAGUGGUGGAAGACAAGAAGUCUAUCCAGCUGAAAGAUCUCACCUCCGAGGAUAUGCAACAGCUGCAAAGCAUGUUGGGCUGUGAGGUGCAGGCCAUGCUCUGUGUCCCUGUCAUCAGCCGGGCCACUGACCAGGUCGUGGCCCUGGCCUGUGCCUUCAACAAGCUCGGAGGAGACUUGUUCACAGACCAGGACGAGCACGUGAUCCAGCACUGCUUCCACUACACCAGCACAGUGCUCACCAGCACCCUGGCCUUCCAGAAGGAGCAGAAGCUCAAGUGUGAGUGCCAGGCUCUUCUCCAAGUGGCGAAGAACCUCUUCACUCAUCUGGAUGACGUCUCCGUGCUGCUCCAGGAGAUCAUCACAGAGGCCAGGAACCUCAGCAAUGCUGAGAUCUGCUCUGUGUUCCUGCUGGAUCAGAACGAGCUGGUGGCCAAGGUGUUCGAUGGGGGUGUGGUGGAAGAUGAGAGCUAUGAGAUCCGCAUUCCCGCUGACCAGGGCAUCGCGGGUCAUGUGGCGACCACCGGCCAGAUCCUAAACAUCCCAGAUGCUUACGCACAUCCGCUUUUCUACCGAGGCGUGGACGACAGCACCGGCUUCCGGACGCGCAACAUCCUCUGCUUCCCCAUCAAGAACGAGAACCAGGAGGUCAUCGGUGUGGCCGAGCUGGUGAACAAGAUCAAUGGACCAUGGUUCAGCAAGUUUGAUGAAGACCUGGCUACAGCCUUCUCCAUCUACUGUGGCAUCAGCAUUGCCCAUUCCCUCCUAUACAAGAAAGUGAAUGAGGCGCAGUAUCGCAGCCACCUUGCCAAUGAGAUGAUGAUGUACCACAUGAAGGUCUCUGAUGACGAGUACACCAAACUUCUCCAUGACGGGAUCCAGCCUGUGGCUGCCAUCGACUCCAACUUUGCCAGUUUCACAUACACUCCUCGCUCUCUGCCCGAGGAUGACACUUCCAUGGCCAUCCUGAGCAUGCUGCAGGACAUGAAUUUCAUCAAUAACUACAAAAUUGACUGCCCGACACUGGCCCGGUUCUGUUUGAUGGUGAAGAAGGGCUACCGGGAUCCCCCCUACCACAACUGGAUGCACGCCUUUUCUGUCUCCCACUUCUGCUACCUGCUCUACAAGAACCUGGAGCUCACCAACUACCUCGAGGACAUGGAGAUCUUUGCCUUGUUUAUUUCCUGCAUGUGUCACGACCUGGACCACAGAGGCACAAACAACUCCUUCCAGGUGGCCUCGAAAUCUGUGCUGGCCGCGCUCUACAGCUCGGAAGGCUCUGUCAUGGAGAGGCACCACUUCGCUCAGGCCAUUGCCAUCCUCAACACCCACGGCUGCAACAUCUUUGACCACUUCUCCCGGAAGGAUUAUCAGCGCAUGUUGGACCUGAUGCGGGACAUCAUCUUGGCCACAGAUCUGGCCCACCACCUCCGCAUCUUCAAGGACCUCCAAAAGAUGGCCGAAGUGGGCUAUGAUCGAACCAACAAGCAGCACCACAGCCUCCUUCUCUGCCUCCUUAUGACCUCCUGUGACCUCUCUGACCAGACCAAGGGCUGGAAGACCACGAGGAAGAUCGCGGAGCUGAUCUACAAAGAGUUCUUCUCCCAGGGAGACUUGGAGAAGGCCAUGGGCAACAGGCCGAUGGAGAUGAUGGACCGUGAGAAGGCCUACAUCCCCGAGCUGCAGAUCAGCUUCAUGGAGCACAUCGCAAUGCCCAUCUACAAGCUGCUGCAAGACCUGUUCCCCAAGGCGGCCGAGUUGUACGAACGCGUGGCCUCUAAUCGUGAGCACUGGACCAAGGUGUCACACAAGUUCACCAUCCGAGGCCUCCCGAGCAACAACUCGUUGGACUUCCUGGACGAGGAGUAUGAGGUGCCUGACCUGGAUGGCGCUAGGGCUCCCAUCAAUGGCUGUUGCAGCCUUGAUGCUGAGUGAGUCCCUCCUGGGACCCCUCCCUGUCCAGGCCUCCUCCCACAAGCCUCCACGGGCCUGGCCGCACGCCCUGGGACCAGAGCCAAGGGUCCUGGAUUCUAGGCCAGGACUUCCCAUGUGACCCGGGCGAGGUCUGACCUUCCCGGGCCUCAGCUUUCUUGUCUGUAUAAUGGAAGACUUCAGCCUCACUGAGACUUUGUCACUUGUCCUCUGAGAGCACAGGGGUAACCAAUGAGCAGUGGACCCUGCUCUGCACCUCUGACCGCAUCUUGGCAAGUCCCCACCCUCCAGGCCACUCCUUCUCUGAGGCAGCCGGAUGGUUUCUUCUGGGCCCCAUUCCUGCCCUACCAGACCUGUGCCCUUUCCUGUGGGGGCACCCUCACUGGCUCCCAGGAUCCUCAGGCAAGAACAUGAGACAUCUGAGUGGGCAAAGGGUGGGUCUUAGAGACAGUUAUCAGCCUGGCUGGAGGACUAGAAGUAGCCAUGGGACCACCUGUGGCCCAGAGGACUGCCUUUGUACUUAUGGUGGGGACUGGGACCUGGGGAUAUAAGGGUCCCAGGAGGACACUGCCAGGGGGCCAGUGCAGUGCUCUGGGGAGAGGGGGCUCAGGAAGAGAGGAGGAUAAGAACAGUGAGAAGGAAGGAUCCCUGGGUUGGGAGGCAGGCCCAGCAUGGGUCAGCCAUGCUUCCUCCUGGCUGUGUGACCCUGGGCAAGUCCCUUCCCCUCUCUGCGAAACAGUAGGGUGAGACAAUCCAUUCUCUAAGACCCCUUUUAGAUCCAAGUCCCCAUAGUUCUGUGGAGUCCCAGGAGAGGCCACCGAGGGUCCCUGGCCCCCUUGGGCACAGAGCUGACACUGAGUCCCUCAGUGGCCCCCUGAGUAUACCCCCUUAGCCGGAGCCCCUUCCCCAUUCCUACAGCCAGAGGGGGACCUGGCCUCAGCCUGGCAGGGCCUCUCUCCUCUUCAAGGCCAUAUCCACCUGUGCCCCGGGGCUUGGGAGACCCCCUAGGGCCGGAGCUCUGGGGUCAUCCUGGCCACUGGCUUCUCCUUUCUCUGUUUUGUUCUGUAUGUGUUGUGGGGUGGGGGGAGGGGGGCCACCUGCCUUACCUAUUCUGAGUUGCCUUUAGAGAGAUGCGUUUUUUCUAGGACUCUGUGCAACUGUUGUAUAUGGUUCCGUGGGCUGACCGCUUUGUACAUGAGAAUAAAUCUAUUUCUUUCUACCAA
rnacentral:misc_RNA from 1 species